CCACACUGGCGAUGGCUGCCUGGUCCUACUUUCUCUCUCAAACUGGCUUUUUCUCAUUCCUUUGACUCCGCCAGACUUCCUCGCCCCCAUGACCUGGUGUUGUGUCUGAUCACCCCAACAUUCCUGGCUGCCCAAUGUGGGGCAAUGAAGACCCCAGUGAAGGAAUGCUAGAGUGUGUGAAAGCGGAGGAUGCAUCGUCAAAGGACACCCGAGGACGUCUCAAAGAAGCUCGGCGGGAAAGCUGAGCGCUCGGAAGAACCAAGGUUCCGAGAAGUAAAGCUUUGGAGGUCACAAAAUUAGCAAUAGAAGCUGGGUUCCGCCAUAUAGAUUCUGCUCAUUUAUACAAUAAUGAGGAGCAGGUUGGACUGGCCAUCCGAAGCAAGAUUGCAGAUGGCAGUGUGAAGAGAGAAGACAUAUUCUACACUUCAAAGCUUUGGUCCACUUUUCAUCGACCAGAGUUGGUCCGACCAGCCUUGGAAAACUCGCUGAAAAAAGCUCAAUUGGACUAUGUUGACCUCUAUCUUAUUCAUUCUCCAAUGUCUCUAAAGCCAGGUGAGGAACUUUCACCAACAGAUGAAAAUGGAAAAGUAAUAUUUGACAUAGUGGAUCUCUGUACCACCUGGGAGGCCAUGGAGAAGUGUAAGGAUGCAGGAUUGGCCAAGUCCAUUGGGGUGUCAAACUUCAACCGCAGGCAGCUGGAGAUGAUCCUCAACAAGCCAGGACUCAAGUACAAGCCUGUCUGCAACCAGGUAGAAUGUCAUCCGUAUUUCAACCGGAGUAAAUUGCUAGAUUUCUGCAAGUCAAAAGAUAUUGUUCUGGUUGCCUAUAGUGCUCUGGGAUCUCAACGAGACAAACGAUG
rnacentral:sRNA from 1 species